ACAAAUUAGGCCAUCUCAAAGAUAUUUUUGUAUGCUUUGCAGGUACUUUUUGCAACUUAAAAAGCUGCAUUUGAAAACUCUAAAUUACUGAAUAUACUUUACUGAGUUACUGAAGAUAUUUUGCUAAAGGAAUACGUUCUCCCUUUUGGGGGUUAAAAACAUUACAUUUUAAAACCUUAUUGAAGGGAAGAGGUGUGCAAAAUGGGUAUGUUAAUUUUCCAGUCACAAAAUUUAUGCGAUAGAUACUACCAGUUCCCAGGCACUGGUCACCUCUAUAGACCAGUUAUUUGACUUUUUUCUAAAUAACCAGCAAGUGUAUUCAUUUUGUUCAUUUUUAAAUGUUGAAAAUGGCCUAUCAAUACUUUUUCCAAUGAUCCUACCACUGAAGACAUCGUAUUAUCAAGUCUAAUAUCUUCCUCACUGAAAGGUGUAUUACAUUUAGCAUAGUAAUUAUUGGAAAAGAAAUUGUGCAUUGCAUUAUUUUUAGCCCAGCUGGUGAAAUCUCAAAAAUUUGUGAAAUCUAAUUCUCACAGCACACAAAGUCAAAAUUGAUAAAAGACAACAUUUAUCCCCAUUAAUAGCACCAGUGACAUCAAUGGAAUUACAGCAAGAAGAAAUUUGGCCUGGUCUCAGCAUGACAGACUGUUCACAAGUGAUGCAGAGCUCUGGGUCUCUGCCACCGCUCUCUUUUUCUUUUUCUUUUUCUUUUUCUUUUUCUUUUUCUUUUUCUUUUUCUUUUUCUUUUUCUUUCUUUUUCUUUUUCUUUUUCUUUUUCUUUUUCUUUUCUUCUUUUUCUUUUUCUCUUUCUCCUUCUCCUUCUCCUUCUCCUUCUCCUUCUCCUUCUCCUUCUCCUUCUCCUUUUCUCCUUCUCUUUCUUUUUUUCUGAAAAUGAGGGAACAAGGAGGAUAUACUCAUGGUCAGGUAUCUUUUUAUCCACAAAAAAAGAAACAGUAACUCUGUAUGGUUUCGUGCAGAAUACCAAAUUACAGUGGUCUGAGUGUUAGUAUUCAUGGCACCUGUGAACAUGUUUACAGAAGUUUAAUCCACAUUAAGAAGCCUCAUCCAAGCCUCAUCCGAAGCCUCGUCUUCUGAAUACAGAUUUUACUUUAUCCUGCUCGUAAUAUUUCAGAGCUGCUUCUAAAGAAAAUCUCAAAAUUCCUUCUAUAAUAGAAAUGAAGAGAAUUUUGCCUCUUAUGCAGACAAUGUAUAAUGCAUGUUCUCAGAGUCAUAUGUUAGAUAUUCUACAGCUGUUACUGAUUUAUGGGUUAAACUUCUUUGUUUACCCCAUCUCACUCUUUUUAUGCUAACAAAAAUGCCAAACUAAUGAUCAAUGACCAUAAAAUAUUGGUCAUGUGUUUGUUUUCAAACCUUCUUUAGCUCUAAAUGUUGAUCUAACAUUAAGUAAUGCCAGAAUCUAGUGAAGAGAAAAAAAUUUGUAAAAAUUGUACACUCCUAAACCUCCAUGAUAACUUCUUUGGAUAUUACUAAACUAUUAUUAUACUAUUACUGAGUAAUAGCCAUUCUUACAUAAGCCCAGAUUCAAAGAUUACUGAAAUCAAUUGUAUUUCUAUUGAUUUCCAUGUGCUUUAGAAAAAAAACCUUUUUCGUACAGUUUUUAGUAGAAACUAGUUUCAUAAGCUAAAUGCUACGGGAUUCAUUCAAGCAAAAAUGAGUCUUUUUGCAAACAUGUAUUAGAUAUAGUCAAG
ensembl:lncRNA